GACGAACGCUGGCGGCGUGCUUAACACAUGCAAGUCGAACGUGAAUUUUGUGGAAAUUCUUUCGGGAAUGGAAAUGAAAUGAAAGUGGCGAACGGGUGAGUAACACGUGAGCAACCUACCUUACACAGGGGGAUAGCCGUUGGAAACGACGAUUAAUACCGCAUGAGACCACAGAAUCGCAUGAUAUAGGGGUCAAAGAUUUAUCGGUGUAAGAAGGGCUCGCGUCUGAUUAGCUAGGUGGAAGGGUAAAGGACUACCAAGGCGAGGAUCAGUAGCCGGUCUGAGAGGAUGAACGGCCACAUUUGAACUGGGACACGGUCCAAACUCCUACGGGAGGGAGGAGAGGGGGAUAUAGCACAAUGGGGGGAACCCUGAUGCAGCGACGCCGCGUGAGCGAAGAAGGUUUUCGAAACGUAAAGCUCUGGCCUAUGAGAAGAUAAUGACGGUAUCAUAGGAGGAAGCCCCGGCUAAAUACGUG
rnacentral:rRNA from 1 species